AAAAAUGUUUUCCUUAAAAACUCCUACACGUUAUUUUUCUCAGACAUUGUUCUUAUAAUGCCCUGUAAGCUUUAUAGUAUAAAAUAUUUCUUCAAUGACAUAUUUUUCUUUUUAUUCAAGCUUAUAUUAACGAUACGGAAACACUUUUUGUAACCCUCAUUUAUUUACAUAUUGUUUGUAUUCUACAUUUCUGAGUAAUUGUUUACAUUCAAUUUAUGAAUCAUAGAUAUUUCAAUUUUUUUGAAGUAAAGUUUUAUUCUGAUGUUAAUAAAGAAAAUCAUAAAAAUAAUAAAUGAAAUGUAAGAUAUUAUCAUUUUAUGUACGUAUGACCUGAGAAUAUUGUCUAGAUACAUCAUCAGCAUACGAUGGCAUGAUGGGAAGUAAACUGAUAAAGUUUAGAACAAGAGCAGGUAAUAAUUUAAGAGUUAUAAUAGCUUACUGUUGGUUGAAACUCGCUUUAUGCUACCUAUCUUCGGAAAGGAUAGUUUAUUCCGUAAAAAGGUGUUAUUUGUACAUAACUUUCUCCACUUACUUCCUCUACCAAAUACUUUGUAGGGAUAUACAUUUUGAUUUUAAUAUUUACUCACUAUAUAGCGAAGGUAUCGUCUAAGUGAAAUAAAAAUGCACCUGACGUAUUUUUUCUUGAUUAAAAAUGUUAACAUUUUAAGGAACGCUCAAAGCUGAAAACUUGAAAGCCUCAGGUGUUUGAAAACCUAAACAGUUAAAGAGCUUGUGACCAUAGUUUACCAAAUUCCUUAAUAAUAUGCGCUUACAUUAACUAAUAAAAAACAAACAUUGUGAUCUCAUGAAUAGUAUUUGCAUAAGGGGAACGAGGCAACCAUUUAUGUUGUUCCUCUGUAUACGCUUUUUUCUACUGUACCCACGUAACUUCUCUUUGUGUCACAAUCUACUCACAUCUAAUGCAACAGUACAUUAUAAGAUAUAAGUGCACUGUUAUGAGAACUACUGCCAUUUUUUCAGGUUUGUCAAGGGAAAAUGUGAUUGAACAAAGAAAUUGAAAAUUUCGCACAUUAUCACCAUGCCUCAACAGAUAACUUAUAAACAAGAAGAUGUGGUAUGAUUGCCAAUUAGACAACUAUCCACAAAAGACCAAAAUAACACAGACAUUAACAACUAUAGGUCACCGUACGGCCUUCAACAAUUAGCAAAGCCCAUACCGCAUAGCCAGCUAUCAAAGGCCCCGAUAAGACAAUGUAAAACAAUUCAAACGAGAAAACUAACGGCCUUAUUUAUGUAAAAAAAUGAACGAAAAACAAAUGUUGUUGAUUUUAAAUAGAAUACCGUUACGUUUAUAGUUAUGUUUUUAUAACUCUAAAGUAAUGGACACAACAGCACAAGACAUAUUGCAAUAUAAAGUAUACCUAUAUUCACCAUGUUUUUGUUUUCACGAUUUUGGAAUGGUAAAUUAAUUUGGUAUAACGCAUAUUUAUAUUUUUUCUACCAUUUUGUUUUGUCAGUACUAGUCCCCACAAAAAAUGCAAGAACAGAAUGCAAGCAUGUUUAAAUGGUUGAGGAGCAUACCCUAGCAACGUUGUAUAAACUACAAGAAC
rnacentral:lncRNA from 1 species